UGGCGAAACUAGGCACAGGACACAAGGCGUGUUGUGCUGCUCUUUGGUGCCGCAACUCGGGAAGGAACAGCGCAGCCAAAUUUUUCCGCUUCCCAGCGGACGAAAGGUGUGACGUAUGGCGGAAUUACGCCCAAAGAGCAGAUCUUGAGGGACUCGCACGGGAGCAAAUGUACAACGGCUACCGCCUCUGCUCGGACCACUUCGCUGAAAAUGCCUACGCCGACCCUGCCAAAACACGACUCCUGUGGACGGCUGUUCCCACUGCUGCAGUGGAAGUGGGGUCCCCGAUCGACGAGGGACCCUCCCGGGCAGAAGCCACAGAAGCCACGGCUGGUUCGGCUCAAGACCACCCUGCCGGCCAAAAGAGCGUCGUCC